AUGGGCAAUUUGAUUAUUCAACAUUUUUCCACACCAGGCCAAGCAGCUGGACCUGGAGCAGUUCUGCUGACUUCUCCCCACGCAGCCCGGCUGGUGGGGCACAGAAUGGAAGGGCCUGGACCCCUGCGAUCAACACGUCCUGCGGCCAGGGCUGGCGUGAGUACAAGAUGCCACGGCAGUUGCGAAACUAGUGAACGUGACCGGACAGGGCAAUCAUCCCUCUGCCUUUGUGGCAUGCACCUGUCCUCGAGUAAUUCCCAUCCUGGAUGGUCAGUCGACUCAGAGUUGCCUUCGGCAGCACGGGUACUUGUUCCAGAAGUCAGACUAAGUGGAAGAGCAUUCCCUCCAACCUUUCCCCAUUUUCCCAGCAGGCAGAAGGCCCAAAGCUUUUACCUCACACAAUCAGCAAAAAAUGGGGGAAAAAACCCCCACAAACUAACCCCCAAAACAAAACCCCCAAAUUUUACAGUCUUUCUUGAAUCACACCUGCAUUUACUGAUAGGGGCUCCUGGCUCGCUUCCUUCCAGCUGGAUUGCCUUAAAGCCCCCAAAUAGUUCAACACAGUCUAUAAAGUUGAACAAAGAUCUUUCCACUAUCCUGUCGGGCUCAAGCGCCAAUUUUCUUCCCAGAGAGUUUUCCCUAGAGGGCACUGAAGGAAAACCAGCACAAACAGAACUCUUAAAAUCUCUUUCGGAUCCAUGGUGCACUGCUCCCCGCAGUUUUAGCGGAUAAAACUCUUUUCAUCAUAUGGCUCUCCUGCAACCUUCCCUCCCUAAAAGCUUGGCCUGAGAAUGAGGCUGGGGAGACGGGAGAGGCAGAUAAACAAGAUUUGCUGGAACAAAAAAGCCAAAGCAUCCCUGACUUAAAUCUUAUAAGGGGAGUUACACUUUGUAAAAGCAAUUCAGAUGCACUUUGUACAUGGAGCAGUAGUGGAAAUAGUUUCUUAGAGAUAGAAUUGGAGCAUAGAAAGUGAACAUUGAUGCCAGAAUCUUAAAUUGGAUAUUACUUGAUUUUACUCCCCAAAGGGUUUGUUUCCUGCAAGCUUUUGUUUUUAUAGUUUAUAGUUCAGGCAACCAUAUGUCCUAAUUUUCCUAGGACAAUCCUUGUUUACACCUGUUAUCCUGAUGAAAUUUUCAAAAGGGCCUUCUUCCACUUUCAAAAAUAUUCCACUUAGAACAAUAAGUUGCAGGGUCACCCUGUUUGCUGUGAACUUCCCAACUGCUGUUGGUCCAAUCUCCCAACCUCGAGAUGGGGGAAUUAGCUGCUUUUUGAGAAUUUACAUUGAGGUUAGGAGACAAAAGUUAGCAUUUUGAGUUCCAUUUCCUCUCUGCCACCUUUUCUCCUUGUUUGGGGAAGAAAGUGGUCUAGAAGCCAUAUGCUGGAAAGAGUGUAGAAUUUUUAAUGAUAUGGGCUUGGCUCUUAAGCCCCCUGCUGACACUUACUCUAACUUUGGUUGAGUAAAUUUUGCUCUAACUAACUGUACCUAACUAACUGUACCUCAUUGUCUUUGUCUUUUUUUUUUUUUUCAUUUUUUUUCAUUUUUUUUCAUUGUCUUUUCUAACUGUACCUCUAACUAACUGUACCUCAUUGUCUUUGUCUAAAAGAUGAAACUAUAUGAAAGAUAACAGAAAUGAAUUUAUUUAUUUAUUUGUAUUUUUAGAGAGAGAGUGUAAGAUGGGGGGGCAGUGGGGAGAGGUAGAGGGAGAGAGAAUCUUAAGCAGACUCCAUGCCUAGCCCACAGCCUGACACGGGGCUCGAUCUUACGACCCUGAGACCAUGACCUGAGCUAAACUCAGCAGUUGAACACUUAAAUGACUGAGCCACUCAGGUGACACUGAAAGGAUUAUAUUAAGAUGCUAUCCUUGUGGAACCAGCAAAAUGGCUGGGAGUGACAGCUCCAGCAGGCUAGAGUUAUGGCAGUGGAUGCAGGUGGAGCAGCCUCAGAGUAGCAGAAGAAAGGCUCUAUAUUUGGGUCAGAUGGUCGCUGGUUAAGCAUUUCCUAUGUAACCAAAUAGCUAUGUAACCUUGAAGGAGCAAGCCAGCUUCCUCCCCUGAAUUUCAUCUAGGUCUUGCCUAAAUUGCAAUUUCUUCCUUUGAAUGGUAAAGUGGAAUAAUGCUUAUGAAAAACUUAAAAACUAACCAGGCUGUAUGGAUCUCAAGUAUCAUUUCCUGGUUGCUCUAUUGAUGCUCUUUUGGAGAAUAUUUCUUUAUGUUCCGAGAAGAUAGUUCAUGUCAUAGUUUAGGUACUGGAAAGUACGCUAUACUUGAGAAUGAGGAUCUCAUUCUUGACCUGAAGCCCCAAGGUCUGCCAGGACUGAGCUGUGAGCUGAAGUUAAUGGAGGAAGGCACAUAGAGGCAAAUAAGUUAUUAAUGAAAGAAACACCUUAAUAAUCCAAGUGGCUGGAGACACAGUGUCCUCUCUGUGUGGCUGACACAAUUAAUCGCUUACCCACGAGUGACCUUCUCUUAUUUUCUGCUAACAGACCCCUGAUUUUAAGGUAGAAAAUGAUCCUCCAUCCCAGUGGAAGUUGGACCUGUUCCUAGUCCCAGGGAUGAGUUACUAGAUGUGGCAAUCCCAUUCCCUUUAUUGUUUUAGGAGUGGACUCAAGUUCCAAUACUGGCCAAUGAGACAUCAAGUGAGGUGUGGGAGAUGGGAGAGCUUUGCUUCUAGUAUAAAAAGACAGACCUUUUCUAGGAAUAAGGCUUUCCCACAUUCCUAUUCCCUGCCUUGACUUCAUUGUGGGAGUUUGGUAGUUGCCAGGCGAUCAAGAUACUGCAUAGAUGAUGAUGAGCAACCAGAAUGCUAAGGACAGUCCCACUGUCAUUGCUCAACUACGGAUCAUCCCAGGAGUGGGAUCACUAAGUCACUUAAAGGAGAUAAUAAAUACAGGUGUAUUGUUUGUUCCA
rnacentral:lncRNA from 12 species